GAGAAGUUCAGGAGAUUCAAAGAAAGGAGUUUGGAUUAGCCAUCUAGAGCCUUUGACGUGAGCUAGCACUCCCACGAAAGAAGAUCUGAUCAGGACUUCGAAUGGAUGAUUUGUAGAGGUCGGACGAUCUGUGCGGCUGCUCGAUAUUAGUGAGAGCUUCAUACUAUACCUACUAGCAAUAAAGAUUAUCGAUCCAUAAAAAGGUGAUGAGUUCUGAACUCAAUCGAUGUGGUCUUAAGGUUAGAUCAGUUCAAGGUAUCGAUGUGAUCGAUAUAAUUUUCUAUUUUAUAUUUAAUUUGAUAUGUAAAUUUUUUAUAUCAUAGAUCUUUAAUUGAU
rnacentral:lncRNA from 1 species